rnacentral:rRNA from 1 species
GACGAACGCUGGCGGCGUGCUUAACACAUGCAAGUCGAACGGUAAGGCCCUUCGGGGUACACGAGUGGCGAACGGGUGAGUAACACGUGGGUGAUCUGCCCUGCACUUCGGGAUAAGCCUGGGAAACUGGGUCUAAUACCGGAUAGGACCCUGGGAUGCAUGUCCUGGGGUGGAAAGCUUUUGCGGUGUGGUGGAUGGGCCCGCGGCCUAUCAGCUUGUUGGUGGGGUGAUGGCCUACCAAGGCGACGACGGGUAGCCGGCCUGGGAGGGUGACCGGCCACACUGGGAGUGAGAUCCGGCCCAGACUCGUACGGGAGGCAGCAGUGGGGAAUAUUGCACAAUGGGCGCAAGCCUGAUGCAGCGACGCCGCGUGAGGGAUGACGGCCUUCGGGUUGUAAACCUCUUUCAGCACCGACGAAGCGCAAGUGACGGUAGGUGCAGAAGAAGGACCGGCCAACUACGUGCCAGCCGCCGCAGUAA